rnacentral:rRNA from 1 species
AUGGAUGAUCUAUUGCUUCCAGAAGUUGACCAUGAACUAGAUGAUUUGGAACUUGAGCCGGGGGAUGACGCUAACUUAAUUACAUCUGUUGAAGUCACAAAUGAAUGGACCAACUUUAGGCAAAACUUUGCAGAUGACAUCACCAUGGCUGAAGGAGUUGUAAGGAGGAAUUACACCACAUGGGAUGAUGAGAUGGAUGGUGCACUGCUUGAGGUGCUUGUUGAUCAUCACAACAAUGGCGACCAUUCACAAAAUGGAUGGAAACCACAUGUGUAUUGUGCAGCCAUAAGGAAUAUGAAGGAGAAGUGCAACAAGGAUAUCACAAAGGACAACAUUUUGGGAAGGCUUAGGACUUUCGACAGGUACUAUGAAGUCAUUACCAAGAUACUUUCCCAAAGUGGUUUUGGGUGGGAUUGGGUGAAUCAUAAGCUAUCAAUGGAUAGUGAUGAUGUCUGGAUCAAAUAUGUGGAGGCUAAUAAGAAAGAGAAAGGAUUAGCUUCCUACAAGACCAAAGUAGUGAAGCAUUGGGAGUCCACAUCUAUCAUAUAUUCAAAAGAUCAUGCCAAUGGUGAAGGUGCGAUGACUGGUGCUGAGACUGCUGCAGAUCCAGAAGCAGAACCAAUAGAAAUCUCUCCAGAAGUGGCACCAAAGAGGCAACGAACAGGUGAGUCCAUUAUGUGCAUGAUUGGAGAAAUGAGGGCUACUUUCAAGGAUGCUUUGAAGACAACUGAUCCACUUCCACUGCCAAAAGCUACCACUCCUGCUGCAAUUCUUGCUGCACUUCAGUUGAUACCAGACUUAGCAGAGCCAGACAUGUUGCGAUCAUAUGGGAAGCUGAUUCUUAAUGAGCGUUUGUUUGAAGCUCUAAUGGAGUUGCCCAUGGAAAUGAGGAAGGCCUGGCUGUUAGUGUUGCCUUAA